GCCGGAGUGGUGGAAUUGGCAGACACAAGGGACUUAAAAUCCCUCGGGAGCAAUCCCGUACGGGUUCGACCCCCGUCUCCGGUA
rnacentral:tRNA from 1 species